UCUACGGGAGGCAGCAGCGGGGAAUUUUGGACAAUGGGCGAAAGCCUGAUCCAGCCAUGCCGCGUGCAGGAUGAAGGCCUUCGGGUUGUAAACUGCUUUUGUACGGAACGAAAAGACUCUGGUUAAUACCUGGGGUCCAUGACGGUACCGUAAGAAUAAGCACCGGCUAACUACGUGCCAGCAGCCGCGGUAAUACGUAGGGUGCAAGCGUUAAUCGGAAUUACUGGGCGUAAAGCGUGCGCAGGCGGUUAUAUAAGACAGAUGUGAAAUCCCCGGGCUCAACCUGGGAACUGCAUUUGUGACUGUAUAGCUAGAGUACGGCAGAGGGGGAUGGAAUUCCGCGUGUAGCAGUGAAAUGCGUAGAUAUGCGGAGGAACACCGAUGGCGAAGGCAAUCCCCUGGGCCUGUAUUGACGCUCAUGCACGAAAGCGUGGGGAGCAAACAGGAUUAGAUACCCUGGUAGUCCACGCCCUAAACGAUGUCAACUGGUUGUUGGGUCUUCACUGACUCAGUAACGAAGCUAACGCGUGAAGUUGACCGCCUGGGGAGUACGGCCGCAAGGUUGAAACUCAAAUGAAUUGACGGA
rnacentral:rRNA from 1 species